rnacentral:rRNA from 1 species
GAUGAACGCUAGCUACAGGCUUAACACAUGCAAGUCGAGGGGCAGCAUGGUCUUAGCUUGUUAAGGCCGAUGGCGACCGGCGCACGGGUGAGUAACACGUAUCCAACCUGCCGUCUACUCUUGGACAGCCUUCUGAAAGGAAGAUUAAUACAAGAUGGCAUCAUGAGUCCGCAUGUUCACAUGAUUAAAGGUAUUCCGGUAGACGAUGGGGAUGCGUUCCAUUAGAUAGUAGGCGGGGUAACGGCCCACCUAGUCUUCGAUGGAUAGGGGUUCUGAGAGGAAGGUCCCCCACAUUGGAACUGAGACACGGCCCAAACUCCUACGGGAGGCAGCAGUGAGGAAUAUUGGUCAAUGGGCGAGAGCCUGAACCAGCCAAGUAGCGUGAAGGAUGACUGCCCUAUGGGUUGUAAACUUCUUUUAUAAAGGAAUAAAGUCGGGUAUGCAUACCCGUUUGCAUGUACUUUAUGAAUAAGGAUCGGCUAACUCCGUGCCAGCAGCCGCGGUAAUACGGAGGAUCCGAGCGUUAUCCGGAUUUAUUGGGUUUAAAGGGAGCGUAGAUGGAUGUUUAAGUCAGUUGUGAAAGUUUGCGGCUCAACCGUAAAAUCGCAGUUGAUACUGGAUAUCUUGAGUGCAGUUGAGGCAGGCGGAAUUCGUGGUGUAGCGGUGAAAUGCUUAGAUAUCACGAAGAACUCCGAUUGCGAAGGCAGCCUGCUAAGCUGCAACUGACAUUGAGGCUCGAAAGUGUGGGUAUCAAACAGG